rnacentral:lncRNA from 1 species
GCCUAGUGUGGUUUACAUCUCUCGUAUGGUUUAAAGCUAUUGUACGAGUGUAAGUUUACCCAGUGUACCUAUAUGGUUAGCUACGAGUUCCUUCAUUACCAUAAAAGAUAAAUGAAAAAAACUAUCCGAACGGAUUAGAAUUUAGCUAGUGGAUUCGCAAAUCUGAUUUGCUAUGAAAAUCGUUAGAAGAAAAAACCUAGAAAUAGCCGAAAUAGGAGAUGAAGAG